GAAAAACAAAAAAAAUUAACCGGGCGUGGUGGCGGACGACUGUAAUCCCAGCUACUCGGGAGCCUGAGGUAGGAGAAUCACUUGAACUCGGGAGGCGGAGGUUGCAGUGAGCCAAGAUCGCGCCACUGCACUCCAGCCUGGGCAACAAGAGCGAAACUUCGUCUCCAAAAAAAAAGGACAACUUUUGAUCCCUGAGGCUGCUAAUUCCAACUGUGUGCAUGUGCUUAACAAAUACCUCCGCACCCAGGCCUGGGAAGUUGGCUGCUUUGUGUACAGCAAAUACGGCAGGCCUGAUGUAGCAGAACUCUGACGAAAACGAACUGGACGCGUAUUUCUCCUGCAGCGAAGGUCACGCUGCUGACAGCCUCUGCCUUGCACUUUGUCCCUGGGAAGGAGGCCUGUGGCCAGUCCUACCUCCUGGAAAGCCAGGGUGCGUCAGAGGACCUGAUGCGGAGCGGGGACCCCAUCCUCUCCGUGUCUCCCCAAGAGCCGGCGGCAGAGGCUGCCUGCGCUCCUUAAGCUAGGUCAGUUCUCCGACCCGCAGUUCUCGUUCUCCUAACAUCCUCCGCAGACAACGACCUUCAUUUUUUCCUCUUGCGCCAGUCUUGAAGCGGGGCGUCCUUUGGGCUCACGUUGCGGCGCCCAGCGGCCUCAAGCGUCAGCUGCCUCCAGGGCUUCAGGAGCAGUGGCUGGGGCCUGCCCUCCAGCGCCCGGGGUCCUCGGCCCAGCCCUGCUCCGAGCGCGUCACAAUGGCGUCGCGGCCCCGCCCCCGGACGCCCAGCCGCGGUCCCAGCGACCUUCGCUUUCGUGGGGAAGCCGGACUGCGCCGUGUCUUCCUGAAGAAGGUUGGGGUUGAGUCCGGCCAGCGGACAAGAGGGCAGCUGGUAGCAGGGUGGGAUGCCCGUGGCAUAGGGCCGAGCCCCCGCUAGGCACGCGGGAGCAGCAGGGCUUCCGGAAGCGCAGGGAGCGCUGGACUGGCGGGCGCCCGGGAUUCGCGCAGGCCCCGCCCCUCGGCGGCCCCGCCCAGGGAGCGCUGCGGCAGUUUCCAUGGUGAGAUGGUCAACAAUCCUGGAUCAGUGUCCUUCAGUGAUGUGGCUGUGGGCUUCACCCAGGAGGAGUGGCAGCAUCUGGACCCUGCUCAGAGGACCCCGUACAGAGACGUGAUGCUGGAGAACUACAGCCUCCUCCUCUCAGUGGGAUAUUGCAUUACCAAACCAGAGGUGUUUUGCAAGUUGGAGCAUGGACAGGUGCUGUGGAUAUUAGAGGAAGAGUCCCCAAGUCAGAGCCACCUAGUCUCUCUCAGUCUCACAGGCUAGAGUGCAGUGGUGCAAUCUUGGCUCAAUGCAACCUCUGCCUCCCAGCUCAGAGAUUCUCAUACCUCAGCCUCCCUAGUAGUUGGGACCACAGACUGCUGCAUAGAUGCAUAGAUGAUGACCUGAUGGAGAAGAGACAGGAAAAUCAAGACCAGCAUUUGCAGAAAGUUGAUUUUGUCAACAAUAAAACACUGACUAUGGACAGAAAUGGUGUAUUAGGAAAAACAUUUUCUCUUGACACAAACCCUAUUCUAUCAAGAAAAAUACGUGGCAACUGUGACUCAUCUGGAAUGAAUUUGAAUAAUAUUUUGGAAUUAAUUAUUAGUAAUAGAAGCUCCUUUGUAAGGAACCCUGCUGAGUGUAAUGUACAUGGGAAAUUUCUCCUCUGUAUGAAGCGUGAGAAUCCUUAUGCCAGAGGGAAACCUUUGGAAUAUGAUGGAAAUGGGAAAGCCGUCUCUCAGAAUGAGGACUUAUUUAGGCAUCAGUAUAUUCAAACUCUUAAGCAGUGUUUUGAAUACAAUCAGUGUGGGAAGGAUUUUCAUGAAGAGGCAGCCUGCAGUACCCAUAAGAGAGUGUGCUCAUGGGAGACCCUGUGAAUAUAAUGAACAUGUGAGAGCCUUUUCCGAUAGACCAAUAUUCAUUGUUCAUCAGAGAACUCACAUAAGGAAGAGUCACUAUGAAUUCAAUGAAUGUGAGAGGAGGUCUGGUGAGAGGCCACCUGUAAAUAAACACCACAGGGUUAUGGAGAUGAAAUACUAUGAGUGUAAUGCGAGUGAGAAUAGUUUUGGCAAGAAAUCACUCCUCAUUCUACGAAGUUACAGAGGAGAGAAAACUUGACUGUAGUAGACAUUUGGAAGUAUUCUGCAAGAAGCCAAAUUUCACUCAACAUCAAGAAACACAUAUAGGAAAGAAUGCCUAUAAAAUUAAUCAGUAUGCUAGUACAUUUUGCCGUAAGCCAAAGCAUUCUGUAUAUCAGAAAACAGAUACAGAGGAAAAACUCUAUGAAUGUAGUGAAUGUGGGAAAACCUUCAGCCAUAAAUCCUCUUUUAUCCUACAGCAGAGGAUACACAGAGGAGAGAAACCCUAUGAAUGCACUGAAUGUGGGAAAACUUUUGGAUAUGGUCAUGCCUUGCAGUACAUCAAAGAACACACAUGGGACAAAACCUAUGAAUGUAAUGAAUGUGGAAAAAACUUCUGUGAGAAGUCAAAUCUUCAUGUACAUCAGAGAACACACAUAGGAGAGAAACCCUAUGGAUGUAAUGAAUGUCAGAAAGCCUUUGGUGAUAGGUCAGCUCUAAAAGUACAUCAGAGAAUACAUACUGGCGAGAAACCCUAUGAGUGUAAGGAAUGUGGGAAAACUUUCUCCCAGAAGCCAAACUUCAUUAAUCAUCAGUGAACUCACACAGGAGAGAGACCCUUUGAAUGCAAUGAAUGUCAAAAAUCCUUCUCUGUGAAGUCAAAACUUAGAGAACAUCAGAGAAUUCACACAGGGGAGAAACCCUAUGAAUGUAAUGAAUGUGAGAAAAUGUUCUACCACAAGUCAUCCCUCACAGUACAUCAGAGAACCCACACAGGAGAGAAACCCUAUGCAUGUAGUGAAUGUGGGAAAACCUUCUACCAGAAGUCAUCCCUCACAACACAUCAGAGAACACACACAAGGGAGCAACCCUAUGAAUAUAAUGAAAGCUUUUACCAGAAUCCCAACUUCACUAAACGUCAGAGAGACAACAUAGAGGAAACCCUUGUCAACAUCCUGAAGGCUCAGAAACCUUCACCUUCUUGGACUCGUUCCAUAGCAGAAACAACCCAGGUUGGGGUGAGAACACCCAAUAAAGAUGAGAAAUCUUUUGCCUAGAA